rfam:Callipepla squamata strain Texas jcf7180005233792, whole genome shotgun sequence.
CCAAAGGCUCUUUUCAGAGCCACCAACAAAUUCAGCUAAAGAGCUU